rnacentral:rRNA from 1 species
AUUGAACGCUGGCGGCAGGCCUAACACAUGCAAGUCGAGCGAGCGGCGGACGGGUGAGUAAUGUAUGGGGACUGCCCGAUAGAGGGGGAUAACUACUGGAAACGGUGGCUAAUACCGCAUACUGUCGGAUAACCCAUAUGGGAUUAGCUAUUAGGUAAGGUAAUGGCUUACCUAGGCGACGAUCCCUAGCUUGGCUGAGAGGAUGAUAAGCCACACUGGGACGGAGAUACGGCCCAGACUCAUACGGAGGCAGCAGUGGGGAAUAGUGCACAAUUGGCGCAAGCCUGAUCCAGCCCAGCCGCGUGGAUGAAGAAGGCCCUAGGGUUGUAAAGGACUUUCAGUCGUGAGUCGUUACUAACAGAAGAAGCACCGGCUAACUCCGUGCCAGCAGCCGCGGUAAUAC